GGCAGCAUCUAUUAUGGACCCCUAAAAAUGGGGGUUUAUGGUGCACCAAGCCAUUUUUACUGCGGUCCCACCUCAAUUUAAAAUUUGAUUAUUUUAAGUAAUAAUACAAGAUUACGUUUUUGCCCCUGAACUAAUCUUUUCAUUUUUUCUCUUUCUCUUUCUCUGAGGAAUAACGACACACUCCGCUUCUCUUCUCCACCCACCACCCACGAACUCAUCUUCUCAUCUCCACUUAUCAUGUAAUAUGAGGUGAUUUAAAGAAAGAUUUGGGUUUUGUUAUUUUAUAAAUUUUUGAGUUUGUACCAUGAACUUCUCGGUUUUGUUAUGAAUUCCUGAGUUUGUGCCAUGAACCCUUUGCAAUGGAAGAAGAAGAAGAAGAAGGAUGACGGAUGGAAGAAGAUGAUGAUGAAUUUUAUGAUAAAAUUUUUUUUUUAAAAAAAUGAACAUAUUGGAAGAGGGAGUUCAACGUUACAGAGAUGAAGUGAAAGAGAAAUGAAACUAAAAUUGAGACUUGGCUCUUGGUCACAUAGAUGAAUGGUUUGCUUGUAUUAAUAGAAAAAAAAAUUGGGAUCCAAGGUUUUUGUUGUUGAUAUUUGGCGUGAGGUGAGAGAGAAAAGAAGUAGAAGGUUUUUGUUUCUUUGCAAUUCAAUUCAAUAUGAGUUGUUGUUCCUCAUCGUGAGAGAGAGAAAAAAAAUGAGAUUUUGGAAUUUGCUCCCUUGAAGAGAUAAGAGGGAAAACAUGUGGCUGAGAGGAAAAAAAC
rnacentral:lncRNA from 1 species